GCGUGGGUCGGCCCGCUGUACUGGAUCCAGUGGGCUGGGGGACACCGCCGCCUCAUAUCCCCGCGGGCGGCGGACGGGCCCGGGGGGCGUGCCGCGUCCCCCGGGCUGCG
rnacentral:ncRNA from 1 species